rnacentral:rRNA from 1 species
UACAGAGGUCUCAAGCGUUGUUCGGAUUCAUUGGGCGUAAAGGGUGCGUAGGUGGCGCGGUAAGUCGGGUGUGAAAUCUCGGAGCUUAACUCCGAAAUUGCAUUCGAUACUGCCGUGCUCGAGGACUGGAGAGGAGACUGGAAUUCAUGGUGUAGCAGUGAAAUGCGUAGAGAUCAUGAGGAAGACCAGUGGCGAAGGCGGGUCUCUGGACAGUUCCUGACACUGAGACACGAAGGCCAGGGGAGCAAACGGG